rnacentral:rRNA from 1 species
CCGGUGUAGCGGUGGAAUGCGUAGAUAUCGGGAGGAACACCAGUGGCGAAGGCGGUCUACUGGGCACCAACUGACGCUGAGGCUCGAAAGCAUGGGUAGCAAACAGGAUUAGAUACCCUGGUAGUCCAUGCCGUAAACGAUGAUUACUAGGUGUUGGGGGAUUGACCCCCUCAGUGCCGCAGUUAACACAAUAAGUAAUCCACCUGGGGAGUACGACCGCAAGGUUGAAACUCAAAGGAAUUGACGGGGGCCCGCACAAGCAGUGGAGUAUGUGGUUUAAUUCGAAGCAACGCGAAGAACCUUACCAGGUCUUGACAUCCGAUGCAUAGCACAGAGAUGUGUGAAAUCCUUCGGGACAUCGAGACAGGUGGUGCAUGGUUGUCGUCAGCUCGUGUCGUGAGAUGUUGGGUUAAGUCCCGCAACGAGCGCAACCCUUAUUGCCAGUUACUACGUUAAGAGGACUCUGGCGAGACUGCCGUUGACAAAACGGAGGAAGGUGGGGAUGACGUCAAAUCAUCAUGCCCUUUAUGACUUGGGCUACACACGUACUACAAUGGCGUUAAACAAAGAGAAGCAAGACCGCGAGGUGGAGCAAAACUCAAAAACAACGUCUCAGUUCAGAUUGCAGGCUGCAACUCGCCUGCAUGAAGUCGGAAUUGCUAGUAAUCGCGGAUCAGCAUGCCGCGGUGAAUACGUUCCCGGGCCUUGUACACACCGCCCGUCACACCAUGAGAGCCGGGGGGACCCGAAGUCGGUAGUCUAACCGCAAGGAGGACGCCGCCGAAGGUAAAACUGGUGAUUGGGGUGAAGUCGUAACAAGGUAGCCGUAUCGGAAGGUGCGGCUG